GUGCCUCUCUCUCACCCACUUCACUCUCACACACGAGCCACUCUCUCACAGUUGUCUCACUCAAUCUCUCUCUAACACCUCCCACCUCCUCCAUCUUCCUUCAAACUGCGUCGCCGGCGUCCUAAAUCAAAGUCCCUCACCUUCUUCUGUCUCUGCCAACGCUCACCAUCCUCCGUCGCUGCCAUUGCUAACCUUCUUCCAUCACUGCCGCCGCUCACUCUUCCUCUCACUAUUUUGCUCAUUGCUUACUGCUAGCUUCACCACUGCCUCCACCUCUGCUUCGCAACGAAGCCUCAGAUCUGCGACGUUGAUGACAAGCUUCCUCCAGCAACGCCUCUGCUCCACACGAUGCCGAUGACGCCUCUCCCACCACAACUCUAGGUCGCCUCUGCUCAACGACGAUGAUGACGACUAUGCUCUGUCUCUGUGGCUGGCCCCCUUACAAUAAGUUGGAUGUUUCUGUUAAUUGAUUAAAUUGGUUUUAACAUAACAGUUGAUUGGAGUGUUGUUCCAGAUCCUGAUGCUGUCCUAAGGUGCCUUGCUAGAUCUGUGUCUCCUUUCUAUUUAAUGUCUUCCUCCGAUGUAGGAUUCAAACAAAUCGAAAUCUACCAUCACCACCAUUACAUCUUGAAAAAAGGGUUGAGGAUUCUAUAGUGUGAUGAAUUAUGUUUUGUAGUUUAUAAAUAUGUAUGAUACUUUUAUGGAUAUGUUUGAUAUUAAAUGUUUGUUGUUUUAAUGUUUUUGGAGACUAUGGACAUAAUAUUUGUAAUGACAACAUAAGAAUAUUUAAUUUUUUAUGUCUUUUUCAA